CCUACGGGAGGCAGCAGUGGGGAAUAUUGCGCAAUGGGCGAAAGCCUGACGCAGCGACGCCGCGUGAGGGAUGAAGGUCCUCGGAUCGUUAACCUUCGUUUGUAGGGAAGUACGGUCACUGUGCUAAUCAGCAGUGAAUUUACGGUACCUGCAAAGGACGCACCGGCUAACUCCGUGCCAGCAGCCGCGGUAAUACGGGGGGUGCGAGCGUUAAUCGGAUUUACUGGGCGUAAAGCGCUCGUAGGCGGUAUGUGAAGUCAAGGGUGAAAUCCCCGCGCUCAACGGGGGAACUGCCUGUGAUACUGGCAAACUGGAGUGUGUGAGAGGAUAGUGGAAUUCCAGGUGUAGGAGUGAAAU
rnacentral:rRNA from 1 species